CCGGGUGAGUAACACGUGACUAACCUACCUUCGAGUGGGGGAUAACUCCGGGAAACCGGAGCUAAUACCGCAUAACAUCGCAAGAUCAAAGCAGCAAUGCGCUGGAAGAGGGGGUCGCGGCUGAUUAGCUAGUUGGCGGGGUAAUGGCCCACCAAGGCGAAGAUCGGCAUCCGGCCUGAGAGGGCGCACGGACACACUGGAACUGAAACACGGUCCAGACUCCUACGGGAGGCAGCAGUGGGGAAUUUUGCGCAAUGGGGGAAACCCUGACGCAGCAACGCCGCGUGGAGGAUGAAGCCCCUUGGGGCGUAAACUCCUUUCGACCAAGACGAUUAUGACGGUACUGGUGGAAGAAGCACCGGCUAACUCUGUGCCAGCAGCCGCGGUAAUACAGAGGGUGCAAGCGUUGUUCGGAAUUAUUGGGCGUAAAGGGCGCGUAGGCGGCGCGACAAGUCACCUGUGAAAUCUCCGAGCUUAACUCGGAGCCUGCAGGCGAAACUGUCGUGCUGGAGUAUGGGAGAGGUGCGUGGAAUUCCCGGUGUAGCGGUGAAAUGCGUAGA
rnacentral:rRNA from 1 species